rnacentral:rRNA from 1 species
ACGGGUGAGUAAUACAUCGGAACGUGCCCUGUAGUGGGGGAUAACUAGUCGAAAGAUUAGCUAAUACCGCAUACGACCUGAGGGUGAAAGUGGGGGACCGCAAGGCCUCAUGCUAUAGGAGCGGCCGAUGUCUGAUUAGCUAGUUGGUGGGGUAAAGGCCCACCAAGGCGACGAUCAGUAGCUGGUCUGAGAGGACGAUCAGCCACACUGGGACUGAGACACGGCCCAGACUCCUACGGGAGGCAGCAGUGGGGAAUUUUGGACAAUGGGGGCAACCCUGAUCCAGCAAUGCCGCGUGUGUGAAGAAGGCCUUCGGGUUGUAAAGCACUUUUGUCCGGAAAGAAAUCGCACUUACUAAUAUUAGGUGUGGAUGACGGUACCGGAAGAAUAAGGACCGGCUAACUACGUGCCAGCAGCCGCGGUAAUACGUAGGGUCCAAGCGUUAAUCGGAAUUACUGGGUGUAAAGCGUGCGCAGGCGGUUGUGCAAGACCGAUGUGAAAUCCCCGGGCUUAACCUGGGAAUUGCAUUGGUGACUGCACGGCUAGAGUGUGUCAGAGGGGGGUAGAAUUCCACGU